rnacentral:rRNA from 1 species
UACGUAGGGGGCUAGCGUUGUCCGGAAUCAUUGGGCGUAAAGCGCGUGUAGGCGGCUCGGUAAGUCCGCUGUGAAAGUCGGGGGCUCAACCCUCGGAUGCCGGUGGAUACUGUCGAGCUAGAGUACGGAAGAGGCGAGUGGAAUUCCUGGUGUAGCGGUGAAAUGCGCAGAUAUCAGGGGGAACACCAAUUGCGAAGGCAGCUCGCUGGGACGUUACUGACGCUGAGACGCGAAAGCGUGGGGAGCAAACAGG